GAUGAACGCUGGCGGCGUGCCUAAUACAUGCAAGUCGAGCGAACAGAUGAGGAGCUUGCUCCUCUGACGUUAGCGGCGGACGGGUGAGUAACACGUGGAUAACCUACCUAUAAGACUGGGAUAACUUCGGGAAACCGGAGCUAAUACCGGAUAAUAUAUUGAACCGCAUGGUUCAAUAGUGAAAGACGGUUUUGCUGUCACUUAUAGAUGGAUCCGCGCCGCAUUAGCUAGUUGGUAAGGUAACGGCUUACCAAGGCAACGAUGCGUAGCCGACCUGAGAGGGGGGUAGCCCGCAUGAGAGGGGGAACGGCGCCAAGACCACUGAGGGAGGGCGCAGAAGGGUAUCUGCGGCAGUGGGGGAGAGCAUGACGGAGCAGGGCGGAGGGGGAGGUAGAGGUGUCGGGAGCGGAAUACUGGUUUUGGGGGGAAAAACAGAUUUGGAAGGAAACGGACCGUGUGUGACGGGACUGAGUAAAAAAGCACCGGCUAACUACGGG
rnacentral:rRNA from 1 species